GCCCGGCUUGAAUGCUGGUAGACCUCUGUAUGGGCAAGUACCACAUCGAAAUGCAUCGCCCAACCCACAAUUGCCACAAGCUGACUGAGGGUUAUUGAUCUGUUCUGAUGUGAGAUUUAGCUUCUCCACCUUCUCCUCAGCCUCAGCCCGGCCACAAGUACAGUUCUUGCAUGCCUUCCUUGUGGCUCCCACCUCACAAUCCCCAACUGUACCAACUGGAAGUUCUGGUUUCUUCAAGUCGUCUUCAGUCAAGAGGCUGUCUUCAUCAAUCAGUUCAGAAUCAUCAUCAAUCUGAAUCUUUGGAAGACCCUUUGUGGCUUUCUUGAGGGGGAAGGAAGAGCCCAUGCUCCAAGAGACCUUCUUUGCCUUAAUCUGCAUUAACAGAAUGCUCGCUAUCCUGGGAACUUGCAGCAGAAGCUUGCACGUCAACAAAUCCUCCUAACAGUAGCUUGCGCUGAAUAGAUACAUACAUCCUGAUCAGAGGGGGAACUCUGUAUAAGCACCAUGCCUCCAGCUUUAAGAACCCUGCUUAUUUCAGUUAUGAACAGAUCGCCCAAGUUUUCCACUUUCUUAAUGACAGCAAGAACAGAACCAACUGAUGCAUCAUCAAAAGGUAACUUCCCACC
rnacentral:sRNA from 1 species